rnacentral:rRNA from 1 species
UGGGGAAUAUUGGACAAUGGGCGAAAGCCUGAUCCAGCCAUGCCGCGUGUGUGAAGAAGGCCUUAUGGUUGUAAAGCACUUUAAGCGAGGAGGAGGCUACUUUAGUUAAUACCUAGAGAUAGUGGACGUUACUCGCAGAAUAAGCACCGGCUAACUCUGUGCCAGCAGCCGCGGUAAUACAGAGGGUGCAAGCGUUAAUCGGAUUUACUGGGCGUAAAGCGCGCGUAGGCGGCUAAUUAAGUCAAAUGUGAAAUCCCCGAGCUUAACUUGGGAAUUGCAUUCGAUACUGGUUAGCUAGAGUGUGGGAGAGGAUGGUAGAAUUCCAGGUGUAGCGGUGAAAUGCGUAGAGAUCUGGAGGAAUACCGAUGGCGAAGGCAGCCAUCUGGCCUAACACUGACACUGAGGUGCGAAAGCGUGGGGAGCAAACAGG